CCCCGACUCCAGCAGCGCGCCCAGCAGCUCCACCUGGAGAUGGCUCAGCUUCGACACCAUGGUCUCCAGCCUGGGGUCGCCCGGUUGGGGUCUCGGCUCGUCCUGCCGCCGCCUCCCUACACCAUGUUCCCGAGACGGCGUCCGCAGCCGAGGGCCAGCUCCCCUGGCCGCAGCAAGUUGAGAGGGCUCAGACGGGGCUCCAGAAGCCUCCCUCCGUCUGCCGAAACGGGAGUAUCAGUUCAGAGUCCGUGUGAAAACAUUUAGUGUAAAAAACAUCUUUAGUUUCUAAAGACUUCAUUAUUUUUGUAGCAGGUUUAAUAAAAAACAUUUAAAAAUGUUCAGCUUUUUUUGCAUUGUCCCAUGUUUUGAUAUAAUUCCUGUGCAUUUUACUUUUGAUUACAAUUUUCCUCAUUCCCCCCAUCAGGUGGUAGAGAGGCUAACGACGCUGGCUGAUAACAGUCAUUGCCCGCUGUAAUGACAGUUCCCAACCAUGAUGCAUGGUUUCUGCAUGAUGCAGCCUUGUAAUUCAAGGGUUUUGCAUACAGAGACAACAGAUUGUGGGCUCACUGCAGUAUGGGACAGGGAAGAUGCUGCUGUAUCAUGUUACUUACUUCUGCCUUUUUGUGCACAGUGAUUUCUUUUACCUAAACUAAAAAGGAUGGAAAAUACUAACAUUGUUUUCAUUUAUAGACUAUCCAGUCUAUCUUCUGUGAAUAUAUAUUUCCACUGUAUGCUUGCAGGAAAAAAAAAUAGUGCAGUUUAGACAAAGAGCAGCAAUAUUUGUCAAGGGAAACUGUAAAGAAGGAAAAAACGUAGCAACAAAUUACCUGUAUUUAUCAUGUGGUUGUAAGGAUUCCUCACGCACCAGACGCUCCCUCCCUCUUGGUUCUGCUUGCCCUGGAGGCCUGCAGCUACAGAUGCUUUUAGAACGGCCUCUCUUGAAACCAAUGAACUUUAAAGGCCAUAAACCCAGAAAUGAACAUCUGCCUGUAUGUGAGGACCUGCAGGAUGCUGCAGCUGGAUACCAGGUGAGGAAUCCUGAGUUUAAUGUGGAAACCUUUCAGAGACUGAGGAAGAGGUAAAUGUUCUCUGCCCCUUUAUCCUGAAGAUCUUUUUCCCUUGAUCUAUUAGACUUGCCCAUCUUAAAUGCCAGGAGCCUGGACAAUCAGGGAAGAGGUAAACUUGCCUUAAAACCUUCUACACUGUCAUUUUUAUAUUCACUGUAACCUGCCAAACCAGAUAUGCUAGCAAAUGAUUCAACACUCCAUUAAGUAUCUAAUUCAGAUCCUUUGAUGCAAGAAAACCAGUGUUUCUCAGACGUUACAAAUUGCUAGCGAUGAGAACAGACAACUGGGAGGUAGGAAGGAGACCACUGCUAGGAAUUAACCAGCAUCCCUGUUUUACAUGUUGGCACUGAGGGUUGCAAUCUCAGAUUAUUACAACUGCCACACUACCCUGCUGGGAGGUAAUGAGGGUAGUGGAGGUCGGGGUGGAAGCUGCAGAGCGUUAGCCAGCUGGAUUAUAGCUCUAGCAGUAGGGCAAGAGCUGAACUGUGGAGUACCAUAAUCCAAACAACAUACUCCCGUAACCAAAUUGUGCCUUGUGGAUUUUGCCUUGAGAAGGAAUGUUUGCCAGAAAAGGACUUGGUUUUGCUGUACCCAUUUUCAUUUAGUAUCAGUUGGUUUUGUUGAUUUUCUUACUUGCAAAAACUUACUGGGGCAUGUCUUGAUUCUGAAGUCAACCUGAAUAACACGAUGUUGGUAGUUGUAAUGGAGAGGCAGUUUCUGAAGUAUGAAAGCCCCGAGCGAUACCUGCCUCCUUCUCAUGUUGGUCUGCAGUACCUGGUUUUGUAUUCUUUUCUCCUGCAAACUUAUUUUUCAUUAAGCGUAACUAGUAUGGUGGUCGAGACCCCUCAAAUUCAAUAGGUCGGUAACAAGGAAUAAGCAGCUUUACAACAAUAAACUGGUAAGCUUAACAGAAAGCUCAUGAAAAAUGUUUUACUUCCAAAAUGGUUUGGA